rnacentral:rRNA from 1 species
GACGAACGCUGGCGGCGUGCUUAACACAUGCAAGUCGAACGGAAAGGCCCUGCUUUUGUGGGGUGCUCGAGUGGCGAACGGGUGAGUAACACGUGAGUAACCUGCCCUUGACUUUGGGAUAACUUCAGGAAACUGGGGCUAAUACCGGAUAGGAGCUCCUGCUGCAUGGUGGGGGUUGGAAAGCUUCGGCGGUUGGGGAUGGACUCGCGGCUUAUCAGCUUGUUGGUGGGGUAGUGGCUUACCAAGGCUUUGACGGGUAGCCGGCCUGAGAGGGUGACCGGCCACAUUGGGACUGAGAUACGGCCCAGACGCCUACGGGAGGCAGCAGUGGGGAAUAUUGCACAAUGGGCGGAAGCCUGAUGCAGCAACGCCGCGUGCGGGAUGACGGCCUUCGGGUUGUAAACCGCUUUCGCCUGUGACGAAGCGGGAGUGACGGUAAUGGGUAAAGAAGCACCGGCUAACUACGUG